rnacentral:lncRNA from 1 species
ACUUUUUCAGAGCUUAUGAAGGGGAAGAGGAAAUAACAUCAGAAAGGUCACUAUUCUCUCAUCUUUAGAAGAACAUGUUGGACUAGAUGCUCUCUAAAGUCUCUUCAAGCUCUAAAUUUAUGAUUCUACAAAAAAUGGAGAGAUAUUGAAGAUUUUCAAGCAGGCAUGCAGAUGAUGCAGUGAAUUGAGCACUGGACCUGCAGUCAAGAAGACCUGAGUUCAAAUACUUGCUGGUUGUGUGACCCUGGGCAAGUCACUCUGCUUGCCUUUUUCCCUCAACUGUUAAAUGAAGAGGAUAAAGUCAGUGGGAGUUGAGACUCUUCCUCUUCCUUUGGC